rnacentral:rRNA from 1 species
ACUGGUGAGUAACACGUAUGCGACCUGCCCCGGACAGGGGGAUAAACCCGGGAAACUGGGCCUAAUACCCCAUAUGCCCCGAGGGCGCAUGCCUUUGGGGUGAAAGAUCCGUCGGUCCGGGAUGGGCAUGCGGCGCAUUAGCUAGUUGGCGGGGCAACGGCCCACCAAGGCGACGAUGCGUAGGGGUUCUGAGAGGAAGGUCCCCCACACUGGUACUGAGACACGGACCAGACUCCUACGGGAGGCAGCAGUGAGGAAUAUUGGUCAAUGGACGAUAGUCUGAACCAGCCAAGUCGCGUGCGGGAUGAAGGCCCUCCGGGUCGUAAACCGCUUUAGCCGGGGAGUAACGUGGGGGUCGUGACCCCCAGUGAGAGUACCCGGAGAAUAAGCAUCGGCUAACUUCGUGCCAGCAGCCGCGGUAAUACGGAGGAUGCGAGCGUUAUCCGGAUUUAUUGGGUUUAAAGGGUGCGCAGGCGGCGUGUCAAGUCAGCGGUCAAACUGCGGGGCUCAACCCCGUAUCGCCGUUGAAACUGGCGCGCUCGAGUGUGUGCGAGGAUGGCGGAAUGCGCGGUGUAGCGGUGAAAUGCAUAGAUAUCGCGCAGAACCCCGAUUGCGAAGGCAGCUGUCCAGCACGCCACUGACGCUCAUGCACGAAAGCGUGGGUAUCGAACAGGAUUAGAUACCCUGGUAGUCCACGCGGUAAACGAUGAUAACUAGUUAUCCGGGGCGAUUGGGUCCUGGGUGACCGAGCGAAAGCGUUAAGUUAUCCACCUGGGGAGUACGCCGGCAACGGUGAAACUCAAAUGAAUUGACGG